rnacentral:rRNA from 1 species
GAUGAACGCUGGCGGCGUGCCUAAUACAUGCAAGUCGAGCGAACAGAUGAGGAGCUUGCUCCUCUGACGUUAGCGGCGGACGGGUGAGUAACACGUGUAUAACCUACCUAUAAGACUGGGAUAACUUCGGGAAACCGGAGCUAAUACCGGAUAAUAUAUUGAACCGCAUGGUUCAAUAGUGAAAGACGGUUUUGCUGUCACUUAUAGAUGGAUCCGCGCCGCAUUAGCUAGUUGGUAAGGUAACGGCUUACCAAGGCAACGAUGCGUAGCCGACCUGAGAGGGGGAUCGGCCACACUGGAACUGAGACACGGUCCAGACUCCUACGGGAGGCAGCAGUAGGGAAUCUUCCGCAAUGGGCGAAAGCCUGACGGAGCAACGCCGCGUGAGUGAUGAAGGUCUUCGGAUCGUAAAACUCUGUUAUUAGGGAAGAACAAAUGUGUAAGUAACUAUGCACGUCUUGACGGUACCUAAUCAGAAAGCCACGGCUAACUACGUG